AGUGCUCUGAGAGAGUUUAUAGUGCUGUGAGUUUAACACUUCAUGACUGAUACUGUUUAUCAUCACAAAAAAAACAACUACAAUGACAUUGAUCAUAUUCUUCUUGAUCUUAGGGAUGUAUUUUCAAGACUCUGCAGGACAGGUGACUGUGAUUCAGACUCCAACAGAGAAACAUGUUCAGAACGGACAAACAGUGACUCUGACCUGUAAAACCAGCAGCUCUAUUGGACGCCAGUCAGACGGUUGGUGUGGGUCAUGUCUCUCCUGGUACCUACAGAAACCUGGAGAAGCUCCUAAACUAUUAGUGCACAGCAUUAAAACCCUUUACUCUGGAACUCCAUCAAGAUUCAGUGGAAAUGGAGCUAAUUAUGGAAGUGAUUUCUCUCUGACCAUCAGAGGAGUCCAGACUGAAGAUACAGGAGAUUAUUACUGUCAGAGUGAACACUAUAUCAGUGGUAGUUAUGUGUUCACACAGUGAUAAAUAGUCGUACAAAAAGCUGUGAGUCAGAGUCACAGUGACUGCACUGAUACAGCUGAGAGAUACUGCAGCUGAUGAUGAGAGGAUCACAAACAACACAAACUCACUGAAUCAAACACUUCACAGAUUUUUUUAUAUGAUGUUCUAAGGAGGAAAUAUACUUAUUAAUGCAAUGUAAUAUAAUUACAUAACACUCAUUACAUUUGACAUUGC